rnacentral:rRNA from 1 species
UACGUAGGGAGCAAGCGUUAUCCGGAAUUAUUGGGUGUAAAGGGUGCGUAGACGGGAUAACAAGUUAGUUGUGAAAUCCCCUGGCUUAACUAGGGGAUUGCAACUAAAACUAUUAUUCUUGAGUACAGGAGAGGAAAGUGGAAUUCCUAGUGUAGCGGUGAAAUGCGUAGAUAUUAGGAAGAACAUCGGUGGCGAAGGCGACUUUCUGGACUGCAACUGACGUUGAGGCACGAAAGCGUGGGGAGCAAAC